rnacentral:rRNA from 1 species
GAUGAACGCUGGCGGCGUGCCUAAUACAUGCAAGUCGAGCGAACGGACGAGAAGCUUGCUUCUCUGAUGUUAGCGGCGGACGGGUGAGUAACACGUGGAUAACCUACCUAUAAGACUGGGAUAACUUCGGGAAACCGGAGCUAAUACCGGAUAAUAUUUUGAACCGCAUGGUUCAAAAGUGAAAGACGGUCUUGCUGUCACUUAUAGAUGGAUCCGCGCUGCAUUAGCUAGUUGGUAAGGUAACGGCUUACCAAGGCAACGAUGCAUAGCCGACCUGAGAGGGUGAUCGGCCACACUGGAACUGAGACACGGUCCAGACUCCUACGGUAGGCAGCAGUAGGGAAUCGUCCGCAAUGGGCGAAAGCCUGACGGAGCAACGCCGCGUGAGUGAUGAAGGUCUUCGGAUCGUAAAACUCUGUUAUUAGGGAAGAACAUAUGUGUAAGUAACUGUGCACAUCUUGACGGUACCUAAUCAGAAAGCCAGGGCUAACUACGUG